CGAGCAAGCCGAGCGGCCGCGGGUAUAAGGCGAAAGCCUGUACGUGAGGAAAGUCCGGGCUCCAUAGGGCAAGGAUAACGGGUAACACCCGCCGGGGGCGACCCCAGGACAAGUGCAACAGAGAUAUACCGCCGUCGAAACGGUUUCGGCCGUUUUGGCGGUAAGGGUGGAAAGGCGAGGUAAGAGCUCACCCAUCGUCCGGAGACGGAACGGUGCUGUAAACUCUAUCCGGAGCAACGCCGUGGAGGGACAUACAGACUGGCCCGGUCGUCCCAGGGAGGCGGCUUGAGCCGAUCGGCAACGGUCGGCCUAGACAGAUGGUCGUUCAAGACAGAAUCCGGCUUACAGACUUGGUCGUGAA
rnacentral:RNase_P_RNA from 1 species